ensembl:snRNA U6 U6 spliceosomal RNA
GGGCUCGCUUUGGUAGCACGUAUGCUGAAAUUGGAAGGGUACAGAGAUCAGCAGGGCCCCUGCUAAGGAUGACACGCAAAUGUGUGAAGCCUUCCAUAUUAAA